rnacentral:rRNA from 1 species
CAUUUAAAGAGUGCGUAACAGCUCACUAGUCGAGCGCUCGAGCGCGGAAAAUGAUCGGGUAUCAAGUAUUGUACCGAAGCUAUGGGCUCGUAAGAGCGGUAGGGGAGCAUUCCAGCGACACUGAAGGUGUGGCGUAAGCCAUGCUGGAGUUUCUGGAAAAGAAAAUGUAGGCAUAAGUAACGAUAAAACAAGUGAAAAACUUGUUCGCCGUAAGACUAAGGGUUCCUGAUCUAUGCUAAUCAGAUCAGGGUUAGUCGGGUCCUAAGGUUAACCCGAAAGGGGAUAUCGAUGGAAAACGGGUUAAUAUUCCCGUACCGACCUUUGCUGCGAUGGGGUGACGGAGGAGUGAAAGUGCUCCGGCCAGACGGAUGGUCGGUGAAGUACGUAGGUAUACGAUUGGUAGGCAAAUCCGCCAGUUGUGCUGAAAUACGACAGUAGCAUGAACCUUCGGGUAAUUGCAUAGCACCUAAUCAGACUCCCUAGAAAAACCUCUAAGCUUCAGGCAAAGGCCGCUCGUACCGUAAACCGACACAGGUAGUCGAGGAGAGUAUCCUAAGGCGCUCGAGUGAUCCAUGGCUAAGGAACUAGGCAAAUUAGUCUCGUAACUUCGGGAGAAGAGACGCCGU